UGGGGUGUAGCCAAGCGGUAAGGCAGCGGGUUUUGAUCCCGUCAUGCGUAGGUUCGAAUCCUACCACCCCAG
rfam:Hahella chejuensis KCTC 2396, complete genome.